GUAUUAAAUUCUUUUGUAGAAAUUCUACUGGAUACUAUGUCCAGGAUUAUCUUACUUAUAACCAUGUCAAUGGCAAUCUUCGUACAGCACCACAAAAUAGCAGCAUCAUUUUUGGGUGUGGUGCUGUACAAUCUGUGACAUUCAGUUCAUCUUCUGAAGAAGCCCUUGAUGGAAUAAUUGGUUUUGGGCAAUCAAAUUCUUCUGUGCUUUCACAGCUUGCUGCAUCUGGAAAGGUGAAAAAAAUAUUUUCACACUGCCUUGACAAUAUUCGUGGUGGUGGAAUAUUUGCCAUAGGGGAAGUGGUGGAA